rnacentral:rRNA from 1 species
GACGAACGCUGGCGGCGUGCUUAACACAUGCAAGUCGAACGGAAAGGCCUUGCUUUUGUGGGGUGCUCGAGUGGCGAACGGGUGAGUAACACGUGAGUAACCUGCCCUUGACCUUGGGAUAACUUCAGGAAACUGGGGCUAAUACCGGAUAGGAGCUCCUGCUGCAUGGUGGGGGUUGGAAAGUUUCGGCGGUUGGGGAUGGACUCGCGGCUUAUCAGCUUGUUGGUGGGGUAGUGGCUUACCAAGGCUUUGACGGGUAGCCGGCCUGAGAGGGUGACCGGCCACAUUGGGACUGAGAUACGGCCCAGACUCCUACGGGAGGCAGCAGUGGGGAAUAUUGCACAAUGGGCGGAAGCCUGAUGCAGCAACGCCGCGUGCGGGAUGACGGCCUUCGGGUUGUAAACCGCUUUCGCCUGUGACGAAGCGUGAGUGACGGUAAUGGGUAAAGAAGCACCGGCUAACUACGUG